UGAGUGCGAGCUGCUACGGCAGCGAAGUGGGUGAUGUCAAGCUUCCAAGAAAAGCCCUAGACCCGUUAAGGCAUGAUUGCCUGUACCCGAAACCGACACAGGUGGGGUGGUAGAGAAUACCGAGGGGCGCGAGGUAACUCUCUCUAAGGAACUCGGCAAAAUGGCCCCGUAACUUCGGGAGAAGGGGUGCCAGCGAGAGCUGGUCGCAGUGAAGAGGCCCAGGCGACUGUUUACCAAAAACACAGGUCUCCGCUAAGUCGCAAGACGAUGUAUGGGGGCUGACGCCUGCCCAGUGCCGGAAGGUUAAGGAAGCUGGUCAGCGCAAGCGAAGCUGGCGACUGAAGCCCCGGUGAACGGCGGCCGUAACGAUAACGGUCCUAAGGUAGCGAAAUUCCUUGUCGGGUAAGUUCCGACCCGCACGAAAGGCGUAACGAUCUGGGCGCUGUCUCGGAGAGAGGCUCGGCGAAAUAGAAUUGUCUGUGAAGAUGCGGACUACGUGCACCCGGACAGAAAGACCCUAUGAAGCUUUACUGUAGCUUGGUAUUGUGCUCGGGCUCGGAAUGCGCAGGAUAGGUGGGAGGCAUUGAUCCAUUGCUUGCGGGUGAUGGUGAGCCACUGGUGAGAUACCACUCUUUUCGAGCUUAAGUUCUAACGGCCACCCGUUAUCCGGGGGCCGGACAGUAUCAGGUGGGCAGUUUGACUGGGGCGGUCGCCUCCUAAAAGGUAACGGAGGCGCGCAAAGGUCUGCUCAGGCUGGUUGGAAAUCAGCCGACGAGUGUAAAAGCAGAAGCAGGCUUGACUGUGAGACCUACAAGUCGAACAGGGAGGAAACUCGGCUUUAGUGAUCCGACGGUUCUGCGUGGAAGGGCCGUCGCUCAACGGAUAAAAGUUACUCUAGGAUAACAGGCUGAUCUCCCCCAAGAGUUCACAUCGACGGGGAGGUUUGGCACCUCGAUGUCGGCUCAUCGCAACCUGGGGCUGAAGUCGGUCCCAAGGGUUGGGCUGUUCGCCCAUUAAAGCGGUACGCGAGCUGGGUUCAGAACGUCGUGAGACAGUUCGGUCCAUAUCCGGUGCACGCGCAGGAAUAUUGAGAGGAUUUCUCCCUAGUACGAGAGGACCGGGAGGAACGCACCUCUGGUGUGCCAGUUAUCGUGCCAACGGUAAACGCUGGGUAGCCAUGUGCGGAGAGGAUAACCGCUGAAAGCAUCUAAGUGGGAAGCCCACCUCAAGAUGAGUAUUCCCAUGGCUUAAGCCAGUAAGGUCACGGGAAGAACACCCGUUGAUAGGCUCUAUGUGGAAGCGCAGUAAUGCGUGAAGCAGAGGAGUACUAAUAGACCGAGGGCUUGACCAU
rnacentral:rRNA from 1 species